rnacentral:lncRNA from 1 species
AACAUUGAUAUUAUUGUGAAUUACUAGAAGUCCGAAGAAUUUCGAAAUAAGAAAUGAAAAUGCGCCCUAAUUAGCAGCAUAUCUUUUUACUAAUUCUAGAGGUCCAAAUCACUCCAAACAAGACAGCCUAAGUAAAUCCUUAAAUUAACCCAAAUAUAUUAGCCCAAAUGCCUUUAUUCCAUCACUUAACCACAAAGCCCUAAAUAAAAAAAAAAGCCUCACAACCCAUCUUCCUCUCGCUUCCUCUCCCUCUUCCAUUUUUAUGCAAGGUCAAGCUUUACUUCAGCCAAGGACAAAUUUUGUCCCUUCCAUUUUUGAGCAAGUUCAUUGUCUCUCCUUUAUCUUCAACGAUUUAGUCAACAAAAGAUACCAAAGAACCUUUUUUUUUCUUCUGAUUUUUGUGCAGAAAAUCACUAGAGCAAAGAUUCAAAUAGCUUUUUUGAAACUCAAGAUCAGUCCAUGAUCUUCCUCUGCCAAAGGAUUUUGAAUUUUCAAAAUCAGGAACAUGAACCCUAGCUAUUUUUACCUAUAAAUACUACCUCAAGGCUCCAGCCGGAGCAAAUUUUUUUUAGCGGCUCACAUCACAAAUACUACCAUUUUCUCGUCGCCGAUAUCAUCUUUCAAAACUCUAAGAAUUUCUUUUAGAACUCUUUGUUUUCUGUUUCGGCACAUUUUGGCUGCAACAGUACUCGGACUUGUUCGGAUCGAAGGCGGAUCUGUUCGUGACAAUAUAGAGUAGAUUCCAGAUCAACGUCCCGAGUUCACUGCACCGCAAAAGGUCAGUGGCUCUCUUAAUUCUUUCUCCCGUUUCUUUUAAUCUAAUUUCAACUUGCGUGCUUAUUUGCUAGUAUGUGAAUCACUAUUUUUUUAUUUUAGAAAAUGAUUUAGGAUAAACAACAACAACACCCAGUAUAAUCCCACUCCGUGGGGUCUGGGGAUAAUAGUAUGUACACAGACCUUACCUUACCCUUGGGUAGAGAGGCUGUUUCCAAAUAGACCCCCGAUAUCCUUCCCUCAAAGAACUUCCCACCUUGC